GGGGCUAGGGUUUCUGUUAGUUUUUAGGCUUUUGGGCUUGGGUUGUUUGGGGCUUUAAGGGUUAAGUUAGAUAGUUUGGGUUUGUAAUUUGGGCCAGUUUAUUUUGUAAAUGGACUUAUUAUUAUUUCUUUAUCUUUUUUUGUUGUUUUUUUAUUGGGCUGGACGGAUUUGGGCCCUUACAAUAGUUUUAAAUACUAGAUAACAUUUAAAACUAUUUAGAAAUCGAAUCGUUACCUUAGUUGAUGAUAAAUCGAGCAUUUGAUCAAAAACUCAAAAAACCUAAAAACUUAACAAUGGAGAAAUCUAUAAUGUUUUGAGUGUUUUCCUUGAGAUACUAUGGAGGUUUAAUGUUGGGAGAAGUAAAAAAAAAUC
rnacentral:lncRNA from 1 species